CAGGGGACGCUCUUGUUCUCUUAAAGUGUUAAAUUAUUGAAGAAGGAAAAAACGAAAUCUUAGCACCUGCAGAAGAGUGGUAGCAAAGUAAAAUUCAUUGAUACAGAAUAAUGAUGAAGUAAUAGUCAUAAGUCUGGAACCCCAGCGACAUCAUUAGUUAAUUCAUCGCUUCAAUGUUUUGUUCAGGAUACUUGUUUGUUGAAGAUAUGGCAAGAGUCCAACUUCUUCGGUAAUUUAGGCCGAGUCGGAAAAACACGAACGGGUCAAAGACACCAUGUGAGACGUCAUAACGAGUAACAACAAAUGGCUCAGGUUAUCACACUAUUAGCACUGAGCUUCUGGCGUUGUUUAUACAGACACAUAUUAUGAUAACUUCAUCCAGUGAGUGUAAGAAAUUCAGCAAUGUCAAUCCGGGACUCAGGACAUUCCCCCAAACUUUCGAUUCAUACUUUUACCAUAGUUCUGACGUGUGAAAGGAAAUUCAUGUGUAGGAAGUAAAAGCCUAGUUUUCAUUGAUAUGGCUACCACGGGUUCAAUGAGAUUGGAGCUCACACAUCCUGACAGAUUUCGGCUCACGUGAUCGCCCGAUAACCACGACCAAAUCACGGUCAUUUCAUCACAAUGCUACCUCUACUAACAUGCUGCUCUAACGUUUUUCAUGCCCAACAAUAACCGUAUAUUCACAACGUUUUCUUAUUUUACAGACUCGGAGAACGUUCACUUUACAGCGCAUCGCCUUCUGUGUGUUGCCUGCUUAACAACAACCAGCUCAGACGGUUAAGCGAUGACCGGUCUCACCCAUCAGCCGCAUGAGUUCAAAGGGUUGAGCCUGUCUAGACAACACAACGAGACUGCCGACGUUGAAUGGCCAGCGUGGCGGCCAUUUCAUCUGAAACACUGGGCUGUUUUGAUUUUGCUGAACACAGACAUGUUCUAAUCCUACUGAGUAAGAUAUAAAUAAGGCCAAGCAACGGAAUACUAAAGAGUUUAAAACUGUGUACUUUCAGACAUUUAAAGUCUAAUAGACUCAUAGGUAUCGCAAGUUUUCAAAAUAACACAUAAAUGUCGUAUUUAAUCAUUGAAAUUAGAGCAUCACCUAUUCCACUAGUUUUGCCAGAAGCAGAAACCGCACUACAGCGUUUGAGAAUUCACAAGAAAGCCAACAAUCCAGGGGUUGACACUUUCCAUCCUUGAAGCAUUGUGAAAGGUUUUUGGUCUAGGAAGUUUCAUGUGUAUUUUGAAACGACGAAGUUGAAAAUUACAAAGUUUUGAAAGUACAAUUUAAAGUAAUAGAUGUUGAUAGGAAAUGGGUGGAAAUUUAUGGGAGUGCAACAAAGAUUGUUUUGUUUAUGGAAAAGCUACUAAGCCUAGUAGUUGUCAUCUCUAAUUUCUAACUGCCGAACAAAGAGAAGACAACUUAGCCGACAGCAUUUGUUUCCAACUCUUUGGCUGCUCUUUUACCAUCAAACAAUGGGAUUAACCGUCACAUUAUAACAUCCCCGCGAUUAGUGACUCUGUCUGAUAUUAUUUAUGAGAAAUAUGGCAGAUUAUACUUUACAACAUAGAGCGGAUGAGGUAGUAGAAAAAAAAGAUGAAUAAAUGUGCCUGAGAGAAGACUAGAGCUAACAAUCGAAAUAUUUGAGCUUAUGCCCUAAAGUAUGUGGAAACACAUAGGAAACAGCUUACAGUAUCUGAAACUACAUAAGAGAAAUAUGAGUGUAUAGAAAGUAGCUGGCAAUAUCUGUGGAUGAUAUUUGGUAUUUUCAACUUGAGCUACAUUUUAUGUGAUAUUCCUAAUUUGAGCUGUUGACCUUAUGGAGGGCAACCAUAAAAGAUCACCCGUCUUCUAGACGGUUACUCUUAACCAAAUAGUGGGUUUGCCUGUCACUCUUAUAAUGCGCCUACAAAUGAAAGUGUAAAAUGUCAUAUUAUAGGCCAAGAUGUCUAGUAUAUGUAAUUUCGUAGAAAUAGCCAACAAUGAAUACUUAUGUACAUGAGAUGGCUGAUCGUGAACUGGAGUACAUAAGAAAGGAUAACGAUAGCUAGAACUUGAAAUCCUAUAUAUAUUUUCAAAACAGAUUAAUAAAAAUACUUUGAAACAUCUUUAAACAUAGAAAUGCCAUUCAUUUUUGCAUGUUUUUUCAUCAAUACUUGUCAAAAACUGAUCGAACGAUUCUGAUUUGAAUAAGUUCAGUAACAAAUAUCUAAGUCAAGUGUCACUAAAUAAUAAAAUUUGAAUCAGAUUAUUUCUAAAUUCAACUUAUCUUGUUCGACAAAAAAAUUAAUGGCAGAAUGUUGAAAUUAAUCUGAAAAAACAUGCAUAUUGUGUGCUGCAUACGCGUGUGUUACUCCAUUUACAAGCUUCCUAACCACGUGCUUGCUUUGAAGAAUAGCAAAUAAUUAUCCUAAAAUCGUUUGUUAUUGAUUAUAAGUAGCCUAAAAUUGUUCUCAAAUUAUAGAAAAUCUGGUAUUGAUUAUUUAAGUUCAGGAAAACAGGAAAUAAACUUGAAAAAUCGUUUAGAUUUCAAUUAAAAUACCUUUCCAUUUUCCAAAACUUGAGUUUUAAGAUCAUGUGUUUAUGUAAAAGUUUGAUAAAUAACGUUGUCAUAUACUCCGCUUAGACGUAAAUAAGAUGUAAUUGCACAUUUUUCUCGUUAAAAAAUGAUUAUUUUAGAAAACCCAUUUCUCUAUUCGUUUAAUAUGUUGUUUCAAAAAAAGGAAAAUCUCUCUCUCUUUAAGCGUGAAAACUGUGGAAAACAAGUUAGAUGCCGUAUAUUAUACCGCAAUCAUAUUUGAUUUAUUUUUAUUACGUUACUAUGUUUUUAUCAAGAA